UAAUCGCGAAUCAGAAUGUCGCGGUGAAUACGUUCCCGGGUCUUGUACACACCGCCCGUCACACCAUGGGAGUCAGUAACGCCCGAAGUCAGUGACCCAACCAUAAGGAGGGAGCUGCCGAAGGCGGGACCGAUAACUGGGGUGAAGUCGUAACAAGGUAAC
rnacentral:rRNA from 1 species